rnacentral:rRNA from 1 species
GACGAACGCUGGCGGCGUGCUUAACACAUGCAAGUCGAACGGAAAGGCCCUGCUUUUGUGGGGUGCUCGAGUGGCGAACGGGUGAGUAACACGUGAGUAACCUGCCCUUGACUUUGGGAUAACUUCAGGAAACUGGGGCUAAUACCGGAUAGGAGCUCCUACUGCAUGGUGGGGGUUGGAAAGUUUCGGCGGUUGGGGAUGGACUCGCGGCUUAUCAGCUUGUUGGUGGGGUAGUGGCUUACCAAGGCUUUGACGGGUAGCCGGCCUGAGAGGGUGACCGGCCACAUUGGGACUGAGAUACGGCCCAGACUCCUACGGGAGGCAGCAGUGGGGAAUAUUGCACAAUGGGCGGAAGCCUGAUGCAGCAACGCCGCGUGCGGGAUGACGGCCUUCGGGUUGUAAACCGCUUUCGCCUGUGGCGAAGCGUGAGUGACGGUAAUGGGUAAAGAAGCACCGGCUAACUACGUG